GAAAGCUACGUGAUACGGAAACGGUCAUGCGUAGUUUGGAGGGGGGUGGUUAGAAAAGUGCCAAUAAUGGUAACUCGCUGGCUACCUACCCUAC
rfam:Scytonema tolypothrichoides VB-61278 scaffold_7, whole genome shotgun sequence.